rnacentral:lncRNA from 1 species
UAUAAUUCAUUCUUUUGACUCAAAUGCUCAAGAUGAUAUAAGAUUUAACUAUCAAUCCUAAUUUAGUUGAUCAUAUUAUAUUUCAACCUUUCAAAUCCAUCUCAUGAAUUACUCUGAUCAAGAUUUUACUAAAUUGAAAUACACUGAUGCAUAUCUCCUACUAAUUUAAAGAGGUCAAUUCCAUCUUGACUCACACACC